UGAGGAAUAUUGCGCAAUGGCCGAAAGGCUGACGCAGCAACGCCGCGUGAGGGAUGAAGUUCUUCGGAAUGUAAACCUCUGUUAGAGGGGACGAAUGAGGGAGAGACCAAUAGACUCUCUCUUUGACGGUACCUUCAGAGAAAGCCCUGGCUAACUCCGUGCCAGCAGCCGCGGUAACACGGGGGGGGCAAGCGUUGUCCGGAAUUAUUGGGCGUAAAGGGCGCGUAGGUGGGAAAGCAAGUCUGGGGUGCAAACUUGUGGCUUAACUGCAAGCUUGCCCUGGAUACUACUUUUCUUGAAUUCGGGAGAGGGAAACGGAAUUCCUGGUGUAGCGGUGAAAUGCGUAGAUAUCAGGAAGAACACCGGUGGCGAAGGCGGUUUCGUGGCCCGAUAUUGACGCUGAUGCGCGAAAGUGUGGGGAGCAAACAG
rnacentral:rRNA from 1 species